AACGAACGCUGGCGGCAUGCCUAACACAUGCAAGUCGAACGAUACCUUCGGGUCGAGUGGCGCACGGGUGCGUAACGCGGGGGAACCUGCCCUUAGGUUGGGAAUAACUCCCCGAAAGGGGUGCUAAUACCGGAUAAUGUCUUCGGACCAAAGAUUUAUCGCCGUUGGAUGGGCCCGCGUUGGAUUAGCUAGUUGGUAGGGUAAAAGCCUACCAAGGCGACGAUCCAUAGCUGGUCUGAGAGAAUGAUCAGCCACACUGGGACUGAGCCACGGCCCAGACUCCUACGGGAGGCAGCAGUGGGGAAUAUUGGACAGUGGGCGAUAGCCUGAUCCAGCAAUGCCGCGUGAGUGAUGAAGGCCUUAGGGUUGUAAAGCUCUUUUACCCGGGAUGAUAAUGACAGUACCGGGAGAAUAAGCUCCGGCUAACUCCGUG
rnacentral:rRNA from 1 species